CUGACUCUUGAUUUUGGCUCAGGUCAUGGUCUCAGGGUUGUGCAAUCGAGCCCUGCAUUGGGCUCUGCACUCCCCAGGGAAUCUGUUUGAGAUUUUUCUCCCUCUUCUCUGCGCCUUCCCUUGCUCACAUACCUGAGCUCUCUUUCUCUAAAAUAAAUAAAUCUUAAAAAAAAAAAAUGCUACAGACUGAGGGGCUUAAAUAACAAAUGUUUAAUUUUCAGUUCUGGAGGCUGGGGAAGUUCAAGAUCAAGGCACUGACAGAUCCUGUGGAAGCACAGUCUUGGUGUCUUUUUGAUCCAGCAAAUAUGCAUCUAAAGCUUUCCUUCUCACACGAAGUCCAGAAGCUUUUUACAGUGCAGAAACCAAUCUAAGUUCCAUAACAACCAGCGAAGGAGAGAGGAACAGAACAAUUGGUGAGAAGAGAGGGUCGCAGUAUGGAAACAUUGAUGGAUCCCAAAACAGGAAUGGAUCAUUAAUAUUUCC
rnacentral:lncRNA from 1 species